UUCUCUUGUAGGAAAUUAGAACUAAGUACCUUCACCCCUCCCUGGGUUCAACAACUCUUUAACACCCGGUUUUAUUUAGUAGUUGCAAUUUCUCUUUGCAACUUCUUAAUUUUUAGUUUCUGAUUCUGCUAGACUUGCAAAAGCAAAACAUUAGGUAGUGGUUGGUUUGCAUUUUCAUUUCCAAACGAUUUUUAGUUUUCCACGAAAACGGCUCGUUUUCCGCGUUUUGAGCGUUUUCGACAUUUAUAACUGAAAAUGCUGAAAACGAUAAAAAGUCGUUUUGCGUUUUCAAUUAUAAAUUUUAACUCGUUUUCAAAAAUGCGUUUUCGAAAACGACGGACCAAACGCCUUUUCCGCGUUUUCGAAAACGGAAAAGGGAAAAUGAGCCGAAAACGGCAAACCAACCAUGGCUUUAGUGGUUCUACUGUUUAAAAAGGAUUUAUGGUGUUUUUAUUUCCACGACCAUAAAAUUAAUGUCUCUGGGAUUUUAUGCACAAGUAUUUAUUAAAAGCUCAUCUAAAUCAUACUUCCAGUUGCAAAAACAAAAUGUACAUUACCCUGUGCCUCUAAUGUUAUAAUUUAUAAAUCACCUUUAAUGAUUAUUUUGUAUCAAUUGAUUGUCUAUUUGAAAAACUAGAGACUUUGAUUUAGUGAUAGUUAUAAAGUUGUGUCAUCUUAAUUAGCAUAUAAAUAUUGGUUUUUACUAUCCUCUUUCUCUUUUGUUUCUUUACCAUAAGUCCUAUUAGCAGUCUGAAUAAAUUGGAUCCUCCACCGUAUCUAUUCAGUUGUCUGUUCUUAACUUUAUAAUUGCUAACCGGAAACCAUUUUAUUGAUUAAGGAUCAUGACGAGGUUUUAGAAAUUGAUUACGAUGCAACUGAUGAGAAGAUUCGAUAUAAUUACAGAAAGCUUGCUGGUUAGCAUUAUAUAUUCUCUAAAGCAGCUUUUCUAUGGCUUUUUGAAUUGAUACUUUGAUGCCCUACCCAACCCUUGGACAGAGACCAAUGUGUGGGUAUUUACAUCAUUUAUAUUCUGUCUGCGUGCAGAAGUGGCAUCCAGACAAACAUGGGCGUGAUACUGCUGUUACUGCAAAAUUUUAAGAGAUUAACAAAGCAUACAACGGUUAUUGUACAGUCAAUCCCCCAUACCUCUGAUAUCUGAUUCUGGUCUAUGAACACAUUUUGGCAAGUUACUGUAUAGUGCUUGUGUGAUGUGGACUUUGAUUUUUUUUUUUUUUUUUUUUUUUUGGGCUAAACAAUUUUGAUGACAUAGCACUAUCAUGAGUCAGUUUGAAUAUGGCAUUUUAUGUUGCAUAUGAAUUUGGUUUCGAU
rnacentral:lncRNA from 1 species